rnacentral:rRNA from 1 species
AUUGAACGCUGGCGGCAGGCCUAACACAUGCAAGUCGAACGAGUGGCGGACGGGUGCGUAAUGUCUGGGAAACUGCCUGAUGGAGGGGUAUAACUACGGGAAACGGUAGCUAAUACCGCAUACCAUCAGAUGGGCCCAGAGGGGAUUAGCUGUUGGGUGGGGUAACGGCUCACCAAGGCGACGAUCCCUAGCUGGCCUGAGAGGAUGACCAGCCACACUGGAACUGAGACACGGUCCAGACUCCUACGGGAGGCAGCAGUGGGGAAUAUGGCACAAUGGGCGCAAGCCUGAUACAGCCAUGCCGCGUGUAUGAAGAAGGCCUUCGGGUUGUAAAGUACUUUCAGCGGGGAGGCGUUACCCGCAGAAGAAGCACCGGCUAACUCCGUGCCAGCAGCCGCGGUAAUAC